AGCAUUACCUGGCAGGGGUAUUAACUCGGUAUUAACUCACGCAUAUGCAUCUAUUUGAGCUAAUUGUACUUUUUUUGUUCUAAUGCACUUUGUUUUAUAUUUCUUGUUUGUAGUGUCCUAUAUUUACAUGUUGCAAGGUGGAGAAGUUCACCCCUAUAUAUUGGAUGUAAUGAGAUUGCCGCUCCAAUCAAAGGAACCAUCAUAGGUGUUGUGGCUAUUUGAGUUUGGGCAGUUUGGGUGGACGGAACAGUCUCGGAGAAACAUGACAUGAUGCUAUCUACUAUCUAGCACUCCUUUUUAUUUUGGCCACUCCGUCAUCACUGUGCAGAUCAGUUAAUGGGUUAAUGUGGAGAAGAACAAAAAGAAUGAUAGAAGUUAAGUCUAACCUUUAGUGAGACCAGUUUAGAAACAUACUUGAGAACCCCUAUAUUUCUACAACAUAAUAUAGCACCAUUGUAUUUAUGAAAUCUUAGCUGAAUAUGUGAUCAGGUUGAUGUUACGCUCAUUUAUGACCUAUUCAAUUUUCUAUAAAA